CCGUUCCACUGAGUGUCGGGGCCUCAGGAUCCAUGAAACAGAAAACAGCAAUAGCCUGGGCUUGCCUCUCUAUGCCUGAAGGCCUCCUUUGAUUUCAGUAUAAAAACACCCAUGAAGCAAUGGAUAUGCAGAUCCAAGCAAAGGAAAGCCAUGCCUUUCUGCGACGUGCAGAAAAGGUUCGGCAUUAACCUAGAUCCAUGGUGGACAAUCCAAAGUGCUGAACAGCCCUACAAGCUUCCUGCUCAAUGCCAUGCUUUUGAAAAAGAAUGGAUAGAAGGUGCACAUGGAAUCGGUACUAUCUGGGCAGAGAAAGAGUGCAAGAUAGAAUAUGAUGAUUUCAUAGAGUGUAUACCUCGGAAAAAAACGGUGAAACAUAGGGAUACCAUCUGAAGCCAAUGGGAUAAACUGAUGAAGGAAGGGAAGUACACCCCUCCACCUCACCACAUGGGCAAGGGGGAGCCUCGGCCCUGAGCAGACACAGCUACUGAUAUCUGGAGGCUGAUUUUCAUGGUCUUUGUUCU